ACAGGGUUUUUUUCAAAUAUCAGGAAAGUUAUCAAAAGGAAGUGGUGCUCGCUGAGAUGUAAGCGGCAUAAUGAAACCUAGGAGUUCUUUUAAUGGCAUGCCUAUUUUCAAGAUGUUUCUUGCUGUUCCUGUGAUCUUAGUUGAAUAACCUCACAAGCCCAGAACUCAUGGAAGGUGUUUUUUCCUGCCUGUGUUAGUGCCCCUGACAUUACCAAGAAUGUCCUGGAAGUGGUACAGACAGAAUAGUGCUGAGAAGCACAUAACAGAUCCAUGGGAAGAGUGUCAAGAUACAAAGGGAUGUGUUCUUCACUGGAGAGACCACGAGUGUUAACAGAAGUUGCAUAAGGCAGAGAGUCUGACUGAUUACAUCCACUGUUUCUUUCCUGCUUUAAGUUGUCAUGCAAGUAUUUUGUGACAGCGCUUCUGAAAGACAUAAGGAGGGACAAG